CAAUCUGCCCUGCACUCUGGGACAAGCCCUGGAAACGGGGUCUAAUACCGGAUGGGACGUACGGCCGCAUGGUCUGUGCGUGGAAAGCUCCGGCGGUGCAGGAUGAGCCCGCGGCCUAUCAGCUUGUUGGUGGGGUGAUGGCCUACCAAGGCGACGACGGGUAGCCGGCCUGAGAGGGCGACCGGCCACACUGGGACUGAGACACGGCCCAGACUCCUACGGGAGGCAGCAGUGGGGAAUAUUGCACAAUGGGCGCAAGCCUGAUGCAGCGACGCCGCGUGAGGGAUGACGGCCUUCGGGUUGUAAACCUCUUUCAGCAGGGAAGAAGCUUUUGUGACGGUACCUGCAGAAGAAGCACCGGCUAACUACGUGCCAGCAGCCGCGGUAAUACGUAGGGUGCGAGCGUUGUCCGGAAUUAUUGGGCGUAAAGAGCUCGUAGGCGGCUUGUCGCGUCGGAUGUGAAAGCCCGGGGCUUAACUCCGGGUCUGCAUUCGAUACGGGCAGGCUAGAGUUCGGUAGGGGAGAUCGGAAUUCCUGGUGUAGCGGUGAAAUGCGCAGAUAUCAGGAGGAACACCGGUGGCGAAGGCGGAUCUCUGGGCCGAUACUGACGCUGAGGAGCGAAAGCGUGGGGAGCGAACAGGAUUAGAUACCCUGGUAGUCCACGCCGUAAACGGUGGGCACUAGGUGUGGGCGACAUUCCACGUCGUCCGUGCCGCAGCUAACGCAUUAAGUG
rnacentral:rRNA from 1 species